rnacentral:ncRNA from 1 species
CGCCUUCGGGGUCGGGUGAAAUUCCCAACCGGCGGUGAUGAGUAUCCGAAUACUCUAAGCCCGUGACCCGUUUUAUUUUUAAUAUUGGCUUCUGCUAUUCAUUUGCGAAUAAUAUUUUUAGCAGUGAAUCAGUUUACAUAUGGUCAAUACAUAAAACGGUGGAUUUGGUGAGAAACCAAAGCCGACAGUAUAGUCUGGAUGGGAGAAGGCA